UACGUAGGGUCCGAGCGUUGUCCGGAAUUAUUGGGCGUAAAGAGCUCGUAGGCGGCUUGUCGCGUCGUCCGUGAAAACCUGGGGCUCAACCCCAGGCUUGCGGUCGAUACGGGCAGGCUCGAGUUCGGUAGGGGAGACUGGAAUUCCUGGUGUAGCGGUGAAAUGCGCAGAUAUCAGGAGGAACACCGGUGGCGAAGGCGGGUCUCUGGGCCGAUACUGACGCUGAGGAGCGAAAGCGUGGGGAGCGAACAGG
rnacentral:rRNA from 1 species